GGCAUCACCUCCAUCAUCGAGAAUCAUGUUUGGUUGCCAGUUUUCGGCUGUGACGCAUCGAUCGAUACACCACCAGAAAUCUUCUUCUGAUUCACCACGCCAUGCGAAUAUCGAGAAACCUGCCGAGUUUCCAACAAAAGGCAAUACAGGGCCACGUCACGUCAAGAAGCAACGACCAUGGCCCACAUUGACAAAGCGAAAAGUUACAAGCACAUUUUGAAAGUGGAGAAGAAGCAACAAAAACAAAGCCAGCAGCACGCGAAGCCAGUUUGAAUGUCACGUUGGGCUUAGUGCCUCCACCAGCAAUAACACCAACGUUAUUGGCUGGUCCUACCGAUCCUUGUUGUUGUCCAGUUGGAACGUUGUUCGAUUGGGCAACGGUGGCAUUGUCCACAUUCGAAACUGCAGUCGGUUGUCGCAUGAUGGAAGGAUGUUUAAUGGCAACCAACGGACUGACUAAAUGAUGUUUGCCCAAACGAUCCUUCUCCAAAUGGUGGGAUUUAGCGUCACUUUUAUCACGAUCGUUGGCAAAAGUUUCAUCGGCCAGUAACGUAUCUCCCAGCGAUUCGUUCUGGGCAACCGGUGUGUAGUUGGCCAUGAUGAUAAGGUUUCACUGCCACUUUUUUUUCUCGUUUUUUUUUGUUUCUUACUUGAAUCACCACCAACAACACACUGUGGAGCGAGUAGCCAGAUGGACCGAACUCAUCGACUGAUUCCAAGCAACUGAAUGGGUCGUCAACCAGCUGUCUGUCGAGUAACGAGCUUAGACAGACGGGAAAAAGAAAAUAGUUUGGUCAUGCAGGAUAUACACGUACAUUGCACUGUGGUGUACUAGUGCUGUGUGCUUUAAAAAGAGAAAGGGGAAGCCAUGAGACACAUACUUUUCGGCCAGGAGAAACGAGAGUGGGGAGGGAUUGGCAAUCUGAAGAGUUCUCCCCGUACAACCCUCCCUCAGGGCCAGCAAUGCACUUUUUUCAAAGAACGAUUAUUGAUCCAUUGAACGUUACCCGACUCAAAUGAUUUAUAAGUGUUUUGGAAAGCUAUUCGAACCGUGAAACCGAAUAAGCUUCCGGCCCACGAUGUUAAAUAGAAACCCAUGUUUAUUA